GCUUGAUACAUGUAGUAAAAUAUGCUUUCAUCUAUCACCCGUGUGCACAUACACUUCAUUUGGUUGCAUUAGGAGGAAAUUGUACUGCAAGAUGAAUGAGAUAAUUUGGUCGUUGCAAGCAAUUAUGUGGCAUUGUACUGCAAGUUCUCAUUUUCAGAUUCCUCACCUCAGGUGUACUGAGUACAAGAGGUCCAGGUUUUUAGGAACCGCAGGAGUGCUUAUGGUGGAGGGCUUUCUGGAACUGCUUUUAGAGAGAGGAUUAUUCGUGCUUUCUCGGUCAAAGAGCAGAAGAUUGCCAAGAAGGUCCUGAAAAUUCAGAAAACCAAAGACAAGAUAGCCACAAAGUAGAGCUCCUUUAAAUUGACGUUGCGCUGCUGUUUUGUACACAAUGAAAAAUACUCCUGAUGGUGGUGAUGAAAGGUUUAAUUGGCUCGAGUUAAAUGUUUAGCAGGUGAGAGACAGACCUCUUGAGUUUAGAGCGUUCCAAAUCGUUGUACCUUUCUAUUAUCAGGGUAUUUAAUCCAUUGAUUUAUCAUAUGUUCAGUACUCUCCACUCAAUGUACACCAUUACCCACCUUAAAAUAAAAUGUAUACACGAUACGCCCAAUGUAUGUAUGUAUAUAUCCUUCUCUCUGUUAGCACUGCUGUUAACAAGGGUAUAGCUUACUAGUAUAUACAGUACAUCUGAUCCAAAACUAAACAAACAAUAGCUGGUGCCUUUGCUAACAGAAAUGCUGACAGAUGAAGGUGGCGCACACCUUCCACUCCUUGUAGGGCAGGCUAGGCAUCUAGUGCUGUGGGAUCUCAGCAGGGACUGUUGGGCUAAGAAAGGAUUCCCAAGCUCAUGCUGGAAUUUACAUCCACAGAAGAACCAGUCACAAAUCCAGCGAUCUGCUCAGGCUGCCCAAAGUGCGCAUCGAAGAAGAGCGGUG